rnacentral:lncRNA from 1 species
UAGAUGAUCCUUCUCAUGAUCGAAUAAGUUAGUUAUAGUGGAAUUUGGGUUUGACAACCUCUGGUGUAGUAAGUUAACGAACCAACUGUGCAACCUUCCCAAAACAUACAAAGUAACCUUUCAUUGCACAAGAUGAAAAUAUUACUUUUGGAAGGACAUGGACAGAAGCGUCAGUCCCAUAAUACGGAGAAAUGAUAAAUACUCGUUGAAAAGGCUGAACUCUUUUGGAGGAGUCUUGAUAACAAAAAGCUAAGAGCCUUAAGGGGAAGGAGUUUUUUUUUACAGAAGUGAUGAGUAGAUAUUCAUGUCACUUUAUCAUCUGUUUAUAAUACAUAAAAAACUAGUUUGUUACUAUUUAAACUCUAGAAGAUAAAUAAAUAUAUAAUUUGAAAUUAAAUAUAACUGUAACGCCCCAAAAUUCUUAUUGCUACGUGUGUCUGCUUCAAUGGUUAAAUGUUUUGGGAGUGUCUGAGAGGUCUUAGGUUCAAGCCUUAACUUUGGUAAAUUUUGGUAUUUUUCUGACUUAAGCCUUAUACUUGAUCAGUAGGCUUAUAUUAAAUUUUUUAUAAAACCAUAUCAAAAUAGGCUUGCUGGUUUGGUGGUUAAGUUGAGUGUUAGGUUGCUGAAGGUCUUGUGUUUGAAUCCCUGCGCGAGCGUGGGAGUUUAUUUUUGCUUGGUUUUGCACAAGUGUUUUAGUGCAAUUAAAAUUUUGAGGAAGUUAUCAAUAGUGGGGUAGUGGAGAGAAUUAGGGGAUUUUGGGAAUAUCUGAUUAGUUUUUUUUGUUUUCUCUUCUUUUCAGAAAAGAUUCACGUCGGUUUUUCUGUGCUCCUUUUCUCUUCUUUUUCUUUUCCUUCCUCUCUUCCUACGUUCGAUUCCUUCUUUUUGCCUUGAAAAUCUCGUGGUGCGUUGUUUCGUGAUCAUUAUGCCUUGUGGUAAGUGGAGUUUCGAAUUUGUUAAGUUUAUUCGAAUAAUGGGGUUUUUACCAAUAGGGUUCUUUUUAAAAGGAUAGUAAUUCUAAAAGAUCAUUAUGUGCAGGAACUGACGGGGAACCAUUCGUUAGAACUACAACGGUUUAGAACGUGUUAGCAGUAAUUGUCGUUGGCGGUAAGUGAGUUUCGUAUUGUUUCCUUUAUAUCGAAUUUGUUAGUAAAUAUGUUAAAUCGUUGAUGGCUAUUCUAUUUUUAGGCUUUUGGAAGGCUUAGGAUUACGUUAACAACGAAAAUGAACCAGGUAUAUACCCAAAACGUAAAAAUCAAGCUUUCGAAAAAAGUCAAAAAAGGCCACUGUUGAUGCCACACGGGUGAUUGGCGGUAAGUGAGUUUCGUAUUGUUUCCUUUAUAUCAAAUUUGUUAGUAAACCUAUUAAAUCAUUGAUGGCUAUUCUAUUUUAGGCUUUUGGAAGGCUUAGGAUUACGUUAGCAGCGAAAAUGAACCAGGUGUGUACCCGAAACAUAAAAAUCGAGCUUUCAAAAAAAGUCAAAAAAGGCCACUGUCCACGCCACACGGGCGUUUGGUCACCCGUGUGGUAGGCCAUGUGCGUCAACACGGCCAUGUGAUCGACCAAGCUUAAGCCGUGCGCAAGACACGACCGUGUGAUUGCCAGGGUGUGGCCGUGUGAUCCAUAUGGGCUGCGCCAAACUGGACAUGUAGGUUAUACAGGUGUGUGGGCCCACAUGGGCAUGCCACACGGGCAUGUGAUAUUUGGGCCAGGCUGUGUGAUCUAUACGGGCAAGGCCAAUCUGGGCAUGUGGACCACAUAGGCGUGUGGGCCCACACGGGCACACCACAUGGGCGUGUGGGCCCACACGGGCACGCCACAUGGGCGUGUGGGCCCAUUUAGCUAAAAUGUUUUCUAGGGUUGCACGGGUCACUUAAGUCGACUGUGAGCCUAAUGUAGGGUCGGUAAAUGCUACUUAGACCCUAGAUCGUGUGAUCUGAAUAUAUAUAAUGUAUGUAUUGAGCAUGUUAAAUUUAUGCAUGUUUAUUGAUCUGUAUAUAUGACUAAUAACUGAAUUUUAGCAUGUAAGCAUGUAUCUCUGAAUAUAUGCAUUGAGUAUGUUUAGUUGCAUCUGCAUUAGGGUGGGAUGAUUGAUUAUUGGAGGAAGUGUACUGAAAGGCUUUCAUGCCUAUUAUUUGGCAGCUCAAAUACAAUAUUACUGAUAUGUGCCGCAUUCAGUACGACUUGGUGUGUAGGGAUGGGUGGGUGUUUUAAACCCCACAUGGUAUGUAGUGAUGGUCAGAGAUGAUGUGUAGAGGCUAGUGGGUAGGAUACUGAUUUUUGUUACUGAAUGUAUACUGUAUCUGAGAUGGGCUAAUGCCCUAAUUUGUAUCUAAAUAUGUAAUGGGCUUAGGCCCUAGACUGUAUGUGACUGAUAACUGUUGAUUGGUUGUAUGCAUGUUAUCUGUGGGGAUUACACACUGAGUUUAUGUAAACUUGCCCCUUUCUAUUUUAUCUGUACAGUUAAUCCCCAGACUUAGACGGAUUGGUGCUACGAAAGACUCAACGGUGACCACAUGUACAUUGAACUGGUUUAAGUUCGUUUAUGGAUUUUAUUUUCUAUUUGCUUUCUGGGGUAUUUUCGAUGUAAUUUGGGUCUUUUAGACUGUUUGCUUUAAUUUUGGAUUUUAACUAUUUUCAUAGACUUUUAAACUGUAAAACUCAACAGAAACUCGGUUUAAUUAAAAACAACAUUUUUCCUAAACGCGAGCGAUUUUCUUUAAAUAUCACGGUUUUAAAAGCUUUCGCUACAGAGUAUGCUUUUAAACGAAUCAAAUUAACGAGAAAAUAGUUUUGAAAUUGAUGAGAGAUAAAUAGAAGUUAAUAAAUAGAAAUGGUUUUAAUUUGAUAAAAUCGAUUUCAAUUCUAUCCUAUGUGACAUCGCCAGAUUCGGCUAUAACGUUUAGGCCGGGUUUGGGAUGUUACAUUUAGUGGUAUCAGAGCUAGGUUACAAAACUCGACUAUAGAUUUUGGGUUCUAAAACUUAGUUUUUAAGAAUUGAUUGUCAAAUGAUUUAAAAUGAUUUGAUUGAGAAUGUGGCACACUGAGUUUCUGACAUCGGUUCUGUAAAUACUUUGAUAAAUUGUUAUUAUAGAUAGUCAGUUCUAAAAACACUCUAGUUAGUGCAUACUGAAACUGUAAUGAAAUUGAAACUGAUAGAGACUGUUCUUGCGAAAACAAAUUCUGAAUUUAUGAUACUGCUUUACAUAAAACAUCUGCUAAUAAAUAUUGAAACUGUAACUAAUUCAUAAAAUUCGUAAUACAAACUAACUCUAAACUUACAAUGAGCGCACAAGGUAUCUGUAGACGUGGUACUCGAGGCCGUGGUAGAGGCCAUAGGGGGUUCGAGCUGAGUCCUCAUCUCUAGGUAGUAUGCCAAAUUUAGACACGAGUGAGACACCAACUUCGCCUGCUACUGAGACUGGGUCUCUGAGUGUUCGGCUGGUGAUGACGCAUUAUUCGGCUGAUGAUGACGCAUUAUCCCAGGCUAGGUUAAGGAUACUGGAGAAGGUCACUAGGCCCAACACUGGAUCUGGGGGCCGAGGGUAGGUUACGGAACGACUCCAAUACAAUGGAGCUGAACUUUUUAGGGGUGUCACUGGAAUCACCCCUAAUGUGGCUGAGUACUGGAUAGAGGCUACUGAGAUGAUAAUAGAUGAUUUAGACUGUACCCCUAAGCAGAAAUUGAAUGGUGCAGUCUCGUUGCUUCGCGAUGAGGCCUAUCAGUGGUGGCUGACCGUUAAGGAGGACAUUCAGCCCGAUCAUCUAUCUUGGGAGUUCUUUAAGUCUGCCUUCCAAGGAAAGUAUGUGGGAGCAAGUUAUAUCAAUACUCGUAGGUAUAAGUUUCUGAACCUCACUCAGGGAGACCGAUCAGUGGCCAAGUAUGAGGCCAAAUUUUUGAAAUUGAGCCGCUAUGCGCGAGGUAUGGUGGAGUCUGAAUAUGAGAGAUGUGUCUAAUUUGAGGAUGGUAGAGGGAGCAAGAGUUCUCCGUUUUGGUAGAGAAUAUGAAGAUCACUGAAGAGGUUAAGCGCGCUGAGCGCCAAAACAGAGAUCGUGAGAAGAGUAAGAGCAAGAGGAAUCUGGAGCCAUCGAGUUCGGUACAGAGGCCUAAGAAAAAGGCCAAGACUGAUGGGCCAGUUAGAGCUGAGCCCCCUGUUGCUCCUACUAGAUUGCAACCGAGUGAAGAUUGUGGUAGACGCCAUCAGGGCGAGUUUUGGAGGAGGCCUGGGGCGUGUUUGAGGUGUGGGUCAUUAGAGCACCGUAUUUGGAAUUGUCCGCUGAGGGCCGAUCUAGUGCAAGCUCCUAGUUCUGGUACUAUGCAGCCGUAGAGUUCAGCAGCCACUGAGGGUUCGUGGUCAGAAUAAGGGUGGUAACAGUAUGGGUCGUGGAAAAAUAGCACAAAGCAGAGGUUUUAGACAGACUGAGGAGAGACAGCUUGCUCUUGUUUAUGCUACUCGUUGCCGAGAGGACAGAGAUGCUCCAGAUGUCAUUACCGGUACGUUCUUAAUUUAUGAUGUACCUUAUCUUAUUUUGAUAGACAUAGGUUCCACACAUUUCUAUGUAGCUAGCACUGUGUCUGGAAACUUAGGGAUCUUGGUUGAAAGUACUUCUAGUGAGGUGAUUGUACUGAGUCCACUGGGGCAAUCGAUUCUGGUUAGCAAAUGGUAUAGAGAUGUUUCACUAAAGGUUCAAGGGUCGGUAUUUUUGGCUAAUCUGAUAGAGCUUCCGUUUGGGGAGUUUAACCUGAUGCUGGGUAUGGACUGGUUGGUUAAGCACCGUAUCAGUCUAGACUGUGCGAUUAAAAGAGUCGUCGUAAGAACUACGGAGGAUAGUGAGACAAUCAUGAUUGGAGAAUGUCAGAAUUAUUUUGCUAAUGUGAUAUCUGUACUGGUGGCUAAAAAACUGGUUCGUAAGGGACGUGAUGCGUUCUUGGCCUAUAUUAGUGUUUCUAUUUCUGGGGACUCUACUGUAAAGGACAUCAGAAUUGUAAGGGAUUUUCUGGACGUCUUUCUUGAAGAGCUACCAGGUUUACCUCUGAAUCAGGAAGUGGAAUUUGAGAUUGAGCUUCUUCCUGGUAUAGCUCCACUGUCUAUCGCCCCCUAUCGAAUAGCACCGAAGGAACUUAAGGCUCAACUGUAGGAGUUGUUAGACUGUGGCUUCAUUCCUCCCAGUGUGUCUCUGUGGGGAGCACUAGUAUUAUUUGUUAAGAAGAAGAAUGAGACAAUGAGGAUGUGCAUAAACUAUCGGCAGUUGAACAAGCCAACUAUUAAGAACAAGUAUCCACUUUCGAGGAUCGAUGACUUAUUUGAUCAGUUUCGAGGGGCUUCUGUAUUCUCUAAGAUAGAUAUUCGUUCUGGGUACCAUCAGCUCAGAGUUAACGAAGUGGACAUUUAUAAAAUUGUUUUUAGGACUUGUUAUAGGCAUUACGAGUUCCUAAUUAUGCCUUUCAGGUUGACGAAUGCACCGGCCGCAUUUAUAGACCUGAUGAAUUGAGUAUUUCGGCCUUAUUUGGAUCAGUUCGUCGUUGUCUUCAUCUAUGACAUUCUGGUAUACUCUAAGAUUGAGGAUGAGUAUCUUAGAGUGGUACUUCAGAUCCUGCGUGAGAAGCAACUUUACGCUAAAUUCAAUAAGUGUGAGUUCUGGCUUCGUGAAGGCAUUUUUUUGGGGAAUGUAGUGUCUGCUGAUGGGAUCCAAGUCGAUCCUAGGAAGAUUGAGGCUGUACUGAAUUAGAAACAACCUAAGAAUGUGUUUGAGAUUUGCAGUUUUUUGGGUCUGGUGGGUUAUUAUCGGCGGUUGGUGGAAGGUUUCUCACUUAUUGCAGUACAUUUAACUAAACUGCUACAUAAGAGUGUUUUGUUUCUCUAGAGUGAUGUACAGCAGGAGAGCUUCGAGAAGCUCAAGACUAUUCUGACUGAGGCUCCUGUUCUGAUACAGCCUGAACCUAGAAAGAGUUUAUGGUUUAUAGUGACGUAUCGCACAUGGGUCUGGGUUGUGUUCUGAUGUAAGAUGGUAAGGUUGUGGUAUAUGCAUCUCGUUAGCUCAUGACGCAUAAGGAAAACUAUCUGACCCAUAAUUUGGAAUUGGCCGCCACAGUCUUUACCUUAAAAAUCUGGAAGCAUUAUUUGUAUGGUGAGAGGUGUAUUAUCUACACCGAUCACAAAAGCCUCAGGUACCUCCUGACCCAGAAGGAGUUGAAUCUUAGGCAGCGUAGAUGGAUUGAGUUGCUUAAUGACUAUGACUGUAAUAUUGAGUACCAUCUUGGCAAGGCCAAUAUGGUGGCCGAUGCGUUGAGCCGUAAAGCGAUGAUUGAUCUGAGAGCGACAUUUGCUCGACUUAGUUUGUUCGACAAUAGAAGUUUGUUGGCUGAGCUGCAGGUUAAAUCAACUUGGACAAAACAUAUUCGGGUUAGGAAGUUAGAGGAUAAAUCGUUGGGUCUUCAGUUUCGUCAGGUUAAAAGUGGCAGUACUAUGGACUUUGGGUUGAAUAAUGAUGGGGUACUCUGUUUCCAUGGUCAGAUUUGUGGACCGAAUGAUACUGAUCUGAGACAAUCUAUUUUGAGAGAAACACAUAGUAGCCCUUAUGCUAUGCAUCCUGGUGGGAAUAAAAUGUACCGAAAUCUUCGGAAACUAUACUGGUGGCCGAGAUUAAAACGAGAGGUUACGGAUUUUGUGGCACUAUGUCUGACAUGCUAGCAGGUUAAGGCUGAGCAUCAGUUACCUUUGAGUUUGCUGCAACCGUUUAAGAUUUCGCUAUGGAAGUGAAAGUGAGGAACUAUGGACUUCGUUAGUGGGUUGCCUCUAACACCCACAAAGAAGGAUUUUGUUUGGGUCAUUGUGGAUCGAUUGACCAAGUCUGCUCACUUCAUUCCGGUUAAGACUUACUAUUCUCUUCAGAAGUUGGUGAAGCUCUACAUCUCUAGUAUAGUGGGACUGCAUGGGGUACCGGUCUUAAUCUUUUCUGAUAGGGAUCAUCGCUUCACGUUUUGGUUCUAGAAAAAGUCACAUAAGGCUCUGGGUUCAAGAUUGGACUUCAGUACUGCGUUCCAUCCUUAGACCGAUGAGGGUGAUUCAGAUACUAGAGGAUAUGUUGAGGAGUUGUGUUAUCGAUUUUUGAGGCAGUUGGAAGGAUUAUUUACCGUUAGCCUAGUUCACCUACAAUAACAGUUUCCAGUUGAGUAUUCAGAUGGCACCUUACGAGGCUUUGUAUGGUCGUAAGUGUCGUACUUCUUUGUGUUGGACUGAGUUGGGUGAACGUCGAGUCUUGGGUAUUGAGUUGGUUUCUGAGACUAAAGAUAAAGUACGACUGAUUUGGGAUCAUUUGAAGGCAGUUUCUGAUAGACAGAAGUCUUAUGCAGAUCUGAAGAGACGUGAGAUUGAAUACUCUGUGUGGGAUUUUGUGUUUCUUAAUAUUUCACCAUGGAAGAAAGUUCUGAGGUUCGGUCGGAAGAGCAAGCUGAGCCCUAGGUUUAUUGGACCGUACCAAACUCUAAAGCGAGUGGGACCGGUAGCUUAUCAGUUGGAGUUACCUCCAGAGCUAAACCGUAUUCAUGACGUAUUUCAUGUCUCAAUGUUGAGGCUUUACCGCUCUGAUCCUACUCAUAUUGUUCCUGUUGAGGAGAUUGAGGUUAGACCAGAUUUGACCUUCGAGGAGGAACCGAUUCAGAUUCUGGAUUAAGAUGUUAAGGUUCUGAGGAGGAAGUCUAUUCCUUUAGUAAAUGUACUGUGGCAGAAUAAUAGCACUGAGAAGGCCACAUGGGAGCCUGAGCAUACGAUGCGUCAACAGUAUCCUCAUUUGUUCGAUCAGGUAAAUUUCGAGGUCAAAAUUUCCACUACAGGAAAAUAGGGCUUUAGCGGCGUUUUAUCAAAAAACGCUGCAAAAUUGUAAAACACAGAGCAAUAGCGGCGUUUUUUGUUAAAACGCCGUUAAAAACAGAGCAUUAGCGGCGCUUUUGGUAAAACGCCGCUAAAGACCAGAGCAUUAGCAGCGCUUUUGGUGAAAUGCCGCUAAAGACCAGAUCAUUAGCGGUGCUUUUGGUGAAACGCCGCUAAAGACCAGAGCAUUAGUGGCGCUUUUAGUGAAACGCCGCUCAAGACCAAAGCAUUAGCGGCGCUUUUGGUAAAACACCGCUAAAGAUACCAACUAGGUUCUCAUCUUAGUCUCACUAUUUUAAGGUUUAUGGAUUAUGGGUUUAGGGAUUAUAGUUUAAAGGUAGUUUAAGGGUUGGGGUUUAAAGUUUAGGUGUUAGGGGUUAGUGGUUCAGGGUGAGGGGUUCAAGGUUCAGGGUUCAGGGUUUAUGUUUUAGGGUUUAAUGUUUAGGGAUUAGGAGUUUAGGGUUUAGAUUAGUUAGUGUUUUUAAUUAUAUGAUCAAUAUUUUCUUAUAUAAUUAUAAAAGAGAUAGUAUUAAUUUUAAAAUAUUGAAUCAAUUAUCAUUAUAUAAAUAUUUUCUUAUAUGAUAAAUGUUUCUUUUUCUAACAAUGGUUUAGUGUGCAAUUGUAUACAUGAACUUUAAUUUGAUCCAGUUCUUGUAAAUUAUUAACACAAUUAUUGAUAUAACAUCAUUUUACAUUUAUAUAUUGCAUACAUAAAUAUUUAUAUUUAUCCAAUAGAAAAAUAUAUUGAUGUAUUUAUUUUUUAAAAUUUGUAUGAUUAAAUCAAAAUUAAAAUUUUAACUAUACAUUUAAACCACAAUUAGAAUUUCACGUCUACAAUUACACAUUAAACCGAAAUUCAUAUAUAAUUCUAAGAUGUAUCUCUAUUAAAAUUUAGGUGUAUACAUAUAAUUAAAUGCCAUUUAUAUAAAAAUCUAAACAACUAAUGCGGACCAUACUUAAAAGAAUAAUACUUGUAUUACUGUGUUAUUUUGUAUUUUUUUAGUUCAUCGAUUUCAUUUUAUUUCUGUUAAAGUUUCCUUUUGUAUUUUAUAUGAUAAUUUAAAAAUUAUAAAAAUCUUCAUAAAAAAUUUAAAAAAUAAAAAAUAAAAAACUUAAAAAUUUAAUAUUAAAAUUUAAUAUUUUAGUUCAUAUUUCAGUUAAAAAGUUCAAUAUUCAAAAUUUUAAAAAAAAUUCUAAAAAAUGAUAAUGUCAGAACAAAAAAUUUAUAAGAAAAAUAGAAAAAAAUAUGUUAAAAAUGAAAAAAAAAUUAAAAUUGAGCAAUAAUAACGUUUUUGAGCAAAACGCCACAAAAAAAUGAACUAUAGUGGCGUUUUUUAUUUAAAACGCCACAAAAAACUAUUAUUUUUUAUCUCGUUUUCAAAAUCCCGCUCACAACCAAAAAAUAAAUUUUGGUUACCCGCUUCUCAUCUUCUGUCUCAUCUCCUUUUACUCUCAAUUUCUUUUUAACGAUAAACGCUUCAUUAGAAACAAAUUUCUUUUUACUCUCAAGGAACGCGAGAAGCUUCUCGAAGACAUGGAAAACAAGAUCACUUAUCUGCAGUCUGUUAUAUCCACUCUUAAGGUUCAAUUCUUAGCCAAGAAGCUUUGCUUUUUUAUUAUUAUGUUUUCAAUUAUUUUCAGUUAUUGAAUGUCUUUCCCUAAAGAAGCGUAGAUUGAAGAGUACAUGUACUAAAUUAGGGUUUAUUCAGCUAUGAAUUUUAAUUUCUAUAUUAUGUUAAUUGCAGGAUGAUUCAUUACUUGCUGAUGAAAAGCUUAAGGCUCUACAAGAGGAGGUUCGUUUUAAAUGGUUUAAUAUAAAUAUAAUCCCUAAUUCCAUUUUUUUCUACUAUUGGAUUCCUUGCCUGUAAUGCUUGCUUUAUUUGCAAUAUUCAUCUGACUUGAGUAGUAGGCCUCGUUCUCCUAGGUACGUUUGCUUUGGGAUGCUUCAUGUUUUGGAAUCGGAAGCACAGGACACUGAAGAUAGGGUGGAAGCUGUUAAUUUAAAAGUUGAAAAGGUCAGCAUUGUGCAUGCAUUAAUUUUAUUUCUGUGUAGAGACUCUGCUAGUGAAUGUUGAAUGACUAAGCAUUUCUAUGUAUUAUUAUGACCUUUAUCAACUGAAAUAAUUUUCAUCAAGAACAGCAAAAAUGCUUUAAAGACCGUCCAAUAAAACUUUGUUUUGUUGAUUUUUUAAGCCCAUCUCAUGCUGCUACUUCAAUGGAUGCUUUACAAGGUUAGCCUGACGAGGAUUUUUCAGUCUCUAGUAUUUUGCCGAUCAAAAUGGUUAAAUUUCAUGGAUGUUAUUUGUUAUGCCAUAAAUGAAGGUACUGACAUACCCAAUCACCCAUGCAUGAACUAGUGAAGUGAAGCACAAAAUAGAGGCUUAUGUAAUCAGUCCCUGUUUUAUUUCGAUUCCUCCUUUUUCUUUCCCCUUUUCCUUUGUCCAUUUUUUUCUUCCAAGUGAGUUUUAGGGAAAGAUCCAAUUGUAAGGGUAUCAGAUAGGAGAGUGGAGAUAGGAAUAGAGAAGAUUGUAGCAAGAUUUCUUUUCAAAGGAAUGACUCCUUGAGUGCUUGGGGAUUUAAUUAGAUGGUUAAGUUCAAAACCAAGGAGUCAUUUGGUUCACUUGUUCCUGUUUUGUUAACUAGUUUAUGUCUUGUUUCUUAACUUUCAUUUGCAAUGAAUGGUUAAAAAUAUAAAAUCAAUGAUAUAAAUGCUAUGAAGGGACAGUUCAAACAGAGAAUCUCAGCCAUCAUUGUUCCAUUACAAGCUUAGGUUUCCCUUCUUUUUGUAUUCAUUUUUUGGGGGUUUUUGUAUUUUUCUCUGGUCAAAUUAGUUAUAAUUCAUCAGCAUGUACGUUUGACGGCCAGUGAUUUCAGGGAAAUUUUCGAUAUGUACUUUAUAUCAGCAAUUAAAGAGGUUAACAGGAGAGAUAAUAUCUUUGCAUUCUUCUCUGCAAUUUGUUCAUGGAUUUUUGUUGGGACCUUUCAGUUCAUUCUGCAUUGAUAUCGAAUUUCUUCAUGUUAUUUGAGACUAGCAAAUAUGGUGGUCGAAAUUUGCAAGAAAAUUGAGUAGACCAGUCUCCUGCAUUAGUUAAAUCCUCCAAAAUUCUGCAACUUACUAAGAGUUUCACUUCAUCAGUCCAAAAGCUUAACUGCUCGUCUUUCUUGUACUGGCUGCGUUAGUUAGAUUCUCAACUGGUUGCAUGGACUAAAUGUGACACUGACUAAUCGUCUUUCUUGUUCACUUUAUACUGUGUGGUCUUUCUAACAUUGCAAUUCUAUAUUCAUUUAUCCUGGGCCUCUUCUCAUCCUUUCCCAUUUCCAUUGCCAUGUUGAUGUCAUCUCAUAAAAUUAAUCAGGAAAAAGAAACCUGUUUAUACUUCACAGUUUUGCCAUCUAUUUUAGGGAGAAAUAAGAGCCUGGCAGUUAGCCUUCUGAAACCUAGCUUGUCUUUCCCAAAUCCUUUUCCGUUGUUUCCAUUCGUUGAUACAAGGAUGUGCUGGAGCACUGUGUUGUCGUUAGGAUUCUGAGAAAGUAAACCUUUAUCGAUGGGAAACCGUGUAACGUCAAACGAAAUUUAUAUAUUCAUCAUUUUCAGUUGAUUUUCUGUAUUAUAUUUUAUAUAUACAAGUAAUUGCAUUGUUAAUAAAUUUUAUUAUUUGAGGGUACUUUUAAUAUUUUACUAUAUGCAUAUAACACUGCAGUAUAAGCUAGAUGGAUCUCCUUCUUUAAAAAGACCAUAGAAAUCUUGGUUGUUUUUGCAAAUUUCAUUAUAUGCCAACAAGAUUGAGAAAUGUGAUCAAAUUGUGAUACAUUCACUUUUCCUUGUAGGUUUGAUGGUCAGAGGAUGCUGAUGGUGAUUGGGACUGUGUGCAAACUUUAGGUGAAUCUAGCAAGUACUAAGCCUAGAACUCUUUAUAUUUGUUCUGUUUCAAUUCAUUUUCUUGUUCAUUGUAUUGCCUGAUAUGUACUUUUAUAUGUACCUAUUAAGUAUUGUGGUGAUGUCUUUGAAAUUUGUAUUAUAUCUUAAAGAUUUUUGUCCACUAGUUUAUUAAGUUUUCGGACUACUAAAAACUCUUGUUCCACUAGUUUAUGGUCAGUGGUCAGGGGACUUAGCUUGCUGCUGCAGAUGGUCUUGAAUGCAAAUUCAGGUGUGAGUUUCAGAUAUUUUAUGUGCAAAAAAGUAUUAGAGUGCCUUAUGUUUGUAUGUUAGUUAAGCAGAUUAUAGAUAGAACCUGCAGUAGGAUCAACUAAUUAGUUGAUCAAAAACUACACCUAGUUUUGUAAUAGUCUACUUGCAUAUUUGCAUAUAUUUAAUAAUAAUCUCGUGUCAACUAAUUAUUCUAUUUUUUAUUUAAUUGUUUUGUUUUCAACCUUUUAUUUUUAUUUGAGUUGAAAGAAGAAAAAAAUGAAUUGUAAUUUUGACUUAGAAAAUAGAAUAUUCAUUAGCAGCUUAAUCAAUUUAAAUAAUCAAUGUUGAUAUUUCACAUGGGAAUGGAUAUUCAAAUCUUAUAUUUUACAUGGUUAUGAUUUAAGUCCUUAUUUCAUUUAAGUAACUUCAUUAUAAUAUCUUAUUUUAUUGAUAUCUUUAUAUUUAAUCUAAUUUUUAUUAUUUAUUUUAGUUUUGAUUCUAAAUUUUUAUUUUUAUUUUAAUAUUUAAGAUAACUUGAGUUUUAACUUUUAAAUUUUAAUUGUGUUAUUAAUUUAUUAUUUUAAAUUUUAAAUUUAAAUUCAUUAAUUUUUGUAUUUAGUUUUAAAGUUAAAUUUUAAUAGAAAAUUUAAUUUGUUAUUGAAUUUUAAUAGAAUUUUAAUAGGAAAUUUUUAUAUUUAUAUCAUGGAUAUUAUUCUUCCCAAUAUUUUGAUAAUGAAUUUUAAACUUUUUAUAUUUUUCAUGACUUUUAUAAUAUUUUAUUUUUUUAAAUUUUAUGACCUUUAGCGGCGUUUGCGGGAAAAGCGACGCGAAAAAUCUUGGUCUUUAGCGGCGUUUUUUAGAAAAGCGCCGCUAAAAGUCCUGGUCUUUAGCGGCGUUUUUUUAGAAAAGCGCCGCGAAAAGUCCUGGUCUUUAGCGGCAUUUUUUUUCGGAAAAACGCUACUAAGUUUUGCGGUGUUGCAUAUAGCGACGUUUUUGCGGCGCUUUAGCGGCGCUUAAAAAUGACGCUAAAGGCAAAAAAAAAUGUCGCUAAAAGUCUAUUUUCCUGUAGUGUUCUUUUAGGGGGUAGAGUUGUAACGCCCUAAAAUUUUUAUUUCUACGUGUAUUUGCUUCAGUGGAUAAGUGUUUUGGGAGUGUCUGAGAGGUCUUAGGUUCAAGCCUUAACUUUGGUAAAUUUUGGUAUUUUUCUGACUUGAAACUUAUACUUGAUCAAUGGGCUUAUAUUAAAUUAUUUAUAAAACUAUAUCAGAAUAGACUUGCUGGUCUGGUUGUUAAGUUGAGUGCUAGGUUGUUGAAGGUCUUGUGUUCGAAUCCCUGCAUGAGCAUGGGAGUUUAUUUUUGCUUAGUUUUGUGUAAGUGUUUCAGUGCAACUAAAAUUCUAAGGAAGUUAUCAGUAGUGGGGUAGUGGAGAAAAUUAGGGGAUUUUAAGAAUAUCUGAUUAGUUAAUUUUGUUUUCUCUUCUUUCUAGAAAAGAUUCACGUAGGUUUCUCUAUGCUCAUUUUCUCUUUUUUUUUUCCCUUCCUUCAUUCCUACGUUCGAUUCCUUCUUUUUACCGUGAAAAUCUCGUGGUGAGUUAUUUCGUGAUCAUUUUGCCUUGUUGUAAAUAGAGUUUCGAUUUUGUUAAGUUUAUUCGAAUGGUGGGGUUUUUACCAAUGGGGUUCUUUUUGAAAGGAUAGUAAUUCUAAAAGAUCAUUAUGUGCAGGAACUGAGGAGGAACCAUCCGUUAGAACUUCAAUAGUUUAGAACGUGUUAGCAGUAAUUGCCGUUGGCGGUAAGUGAGUUUCGUGUCGUUUCUUUUGUAUCGAAUUCGUUAGUAAAUUUGCUAAAUCGUUAAUAGUUAUUCUAUUUUUAGGCUUUUGGAAGGCUCGAGAUUGUGUUAGCAGUGAAAACGAUCCAAGUGUGUACCCGAAACGCAGAAAUAGAAAUUUCAGUAAAAGCUGAAAAAUGCCACUUUCGACGCCACACGGGUGUGUGGUCACCUGUAUAGUAGGCCGUGUGCGUCAACACGGCUGUGUGAUUUAUGAAAGUCAGGCCGUGUACAAGACAAGUCCGUGUGAUGGCCAGGGUGUGGCCGUGUGAUCCACACGGGCUACACCAAACUGGGCGUGUGGGCCCACACAGGCGUGUGAUAUUUGGGCCAAACCGUGUGAUCCACACGGGCAAGGCCAAUCUGGGCGUGUAGGCCCAUUUAGUUAAAAUGUUUUCUAGGGUUGUACGGGUCGUCCAAGUCGACUGUGAACCUAAUGUAGGGUCGAUAAGUGCUACUCAAACCCUAGAUCGUGUGAUCUGAAUAUAUAUAAUGCAUGUAUUAAGCAUGUUAAAUUUAUGCAUGUUUAUUGAGCUGUAUGUAUGACUAAUAACUGAAUUUUAGCAUGUAAGCAUGUAUCUCUGAAUAUCUGCAUUAAGCAUGUUUAGUUGCAUCUGCAUUGGGGUAGGAUGAUUGAUUAUUGGAGGAAGUGUACUGAAAGGCUUUCAUGCCUACUAUUUGGCAGCUCGGCUGCAAUAUUAUUGAUAUGUGCCACAUUCGAUACGAUUUGGUGUGUAGGGCUGGGUGGGUGUUUUAAACCCCACAUGGUGUGUAGGGAUAGUCGGAGAUGGUAUGUAAAAGUUGGUGGGUAGGAUACUGAUUUCUUUUACUGAAUGCAUACUGUAUCUGCAAUGGGAUAAUGCCCUAAUUUGUAUCUGAAUCUGUAAUGGGCUUAGGCCCCAGACUGUAUGUGACUGAUAACUGUUGAUUGAUUGUAUGCAUGUUAUCUGUGGGAAUUAUAUACUGAGUUUACGUAAACUUGCCCCUUUCUGUUUUAUCUGUACAGGUAAUCCCCAAAUUUAGACGGAUCAGUGCUACGGAGGACUCAACAGUGACCACAUGUACAUUGAACUGGUUUAAGUUCGUUUAUGGAUUUUAUUUUCUAUUUGCUUUCUGGGGUAUUUUCGAUGUAAUUUGGGUUUUUUUGGACUGUUUGCUUUAAUUUUGGAUUUUAACUGUUUUCAUGGACUUUUAAACUGCAAAACUCAACAGAAACUAGAGUGAUUUUAAAAGCUUUUAAACUAAACGUUUUUCCUAAACGUGAGCGGUUUUCUUUAAAUAUCACAGUUUUAAAAGCUUCCGCUACAGAAUAUGUUUUUAAACGAAUCAAAUUAACGAGAAAAUAGUUUUGAAAUUGAUGAGAGAUAAAUAGAAGUUAAUAAAUAGAAAUGGUUUUAAUUUUAAUAAAAUCGAUUUUAAUUCCAUCUCAUGUGACAUCGCCAGAUUUGGCUAUAACGUUUAGGCCAGGUUUGGGGUAUUACAGUAACAAUAUCAUAACAAUCCUAACAAUAAUCCUAAAAAUAAAAUUCAAAUUUAAAUAAAGGCUUAUGUUUAUAAAUCACUGCUUUAAAUUUUUGCCCCCAAGUCUUCCACACUUUGUAUUUUCGGCACCACUUCUUUCCUAUUUUGUAUGCUAACCUAUUUUAUUUUUAAAUUCACGCUUUUUGUCCCCAAAUUUCCUUUUACCUUCAAUUUAGUCCCUAAAAGAUAAAAAACCAUAAAAAAACCAAAUUAGUAAGAUCAUAUUCAAAAUAUAUAUAUAAUUAACACAUAAAAGUAUGUCAUUUUAAAGUAUUAUCAUUAUGCUUAUAAUUAUUUUUAUAAUUAUUAUUAUAAAAAUUAUUAUAAAUAUUAUAUUUAAAAAAAUCCACUUAUUCUAAUACAAAACCACACUUUUAUAACUUUUUUUAUGAAAUAUUUCUAUAAUUUUAACUUUUUGUAUGAUCAUAUCUAGUUUUUAAUAAUAAUAAUAAUAAUAAUAAUAAUAAUACAAUUAAAUUAAUUACUCCAUAUAAACAUUGAAAUGAUCAAUUUCUUAUUUUAUUAAAACUAUUCCUUUAAAUAUAAUUUUUUUUUCAUUUGGGUUAAUUUGAAUAAAACAGGUUCCAUAUGAAAAAAAUGAACCCGAAUCAAAUUAUGCAAUUUGGGUGAUAAUAUCAACUUGAAAUCAAACCAAACAUUACAAAACCUGAACCAAACUAAAUCAAAUACAUUGGUUGGAAUCAAUUUUUCAAUUUCUUUGCCCAGCUCUAAUCAUAUACUAUAAUGUUGAGGAUAAGUGAGAAUUAAUUAAGGUACUUGAAAAAAAGAAGAUAAUGGUAGAUGAAUUUAUAAAAAUAGGCAAGAUUGAUUUGGAGAAUAAUUAAUGUUAAUUUGAUAUUAAUUUUGUAUUUUAUAUAAUUUAUCAUAAUAAUUUAUUUUUUAAAAAUAUAAAUUGUUUAUAUUGUUGCAAAUCUAUUAAUAAAUGGAUGUCCAUAGCCCUAAAUUUAUCCUAUUGUAAUCUGUAAAAGAUGCAUGGCCAUAACCCUUAAAUUCAUUAUCGAUGCAUGGCCAUAACCCUUAAAUUCAUUAUCUUAUAACCCUAAAAUCAUUUAUAGGACACCUUAAUGUUGGCCCUUAAACUUUGUAACUUAUGAUUUUUGAAACCCUAUAAAUAGAGGGCAUGUUCAAGCUUGAUGGAUCCCAAGUAGAAGUUGAAUCAUCAUUUAAUCUUUUAUUCUUCUCACUUGUUUAUUCUAUUAUAAUACGUUAUCAGCACCAUUUUAUUCAAGAGUAAUAUGUUCUUAGUUCGUGUCAAGAUUUUGUUGAGAUCCGAGCAUUGAAAUUUAAUUAUUUGAUUUAAGAAUGAUUAGAAUCAUGACUAUUUGAUAUUUGCUUGGAGAUGAUCUCUUUUCUUCAUUAGUUUAAAACCAUAUAAAUUUGAAUUAUUAAUUAACUUAUUUAAGUCCUAAAAUUAUCAUUUUAGAAAAUUUUUAAAUUUUUUUAUAUAUUUAAAAAAGUAUAAAAUUUAUAAUUUUUAUAAAUAUUUAAAAUUUUAAAAAUUAUUUUUAACUUUUGAAAAUUACUUUGAAUUACUUUUUUUUUUGUAAUUUUUGUUAAGAGAGAGAUCGAUUUGUUUAUUUUCAAAAUUGAUAGGGACCAAACGAGUAUUUACACAAAUUUGUUAUUCGAAUUAUUCAAAUUUUAAAAUUCAACUUGACUCGAACUCAAAUUACUCAAAAAAAUUAAUAACUCAAAUAACUCAAGUUAAUUAAUUUAAUUAAUUCAAAAAAAUUUUAAAAAAAUUUCAAAUCAAAUCAAACUAUACUCAUCCCAAAUCAAAUAUAAAUUUCUUUAUUGAUUAUGAUAGCUUUCCUAUCUUAGGAAAAAAAUUACAAAAGCAAUUAGGGUUGAGGAAAUUGCUUGGGAAGGGACUUUUGUAAUCAUCAACGAGAAAAACAUGUUUAAAUAGGAAAUUACUUGAGAAGUGACCCGAAUCCUUGUUAAAAUAAAAUACAGUGGUAAAAUAAAAUAAAAAUAAAAAUCAUAAAAAAUUACACUUUUUUUAUUUUAUUUUAGAAUAAGGUUUUUCAACCUUAUUACACUUUAUCUAUUUGAUAUUGAUUAAAAUAAUGUGUUUUAAUCUUACCACACUCAUUUUAUUAGAAUAUGAUUUUUCAAGCCUAUAAAUAGAUAUAGUCUACUCAUCUUAUAUUCAUUCCAAUUUGACAUAGUGAAUUAUCCUAUUUUCUACCCGUAAUAUUUUUUCCGAAAGGGUUUCCACGUAAAAAUCUGUGUUCUUUAUUUUUUUUCUCUUUUCUUUGCAAUACAUUGUCAUUAUCAACGUUCGAUUUUUUAACACAAUCUCUUACUUUCCAAAGUUAUUUUAUUUUCAAUCUUUGUAAUCGUUCAUUUGUUUGAUUUUCAUAGUUGGAUUCUAAACAUUUUCAACAACUUGAAAUUGGAACCCUCUAUCAUUCAGAUUCUAAACAUUUUCAAUCUCCUCUAUCGUUUGCUUGUUUUUCACUUUAGUACUUCAAAUUUAUUUUAUCUCAAUUUGGUACUUAAGCUAUCAUUUCGAUACCUAGUUCAAUCUAUUUUUUGUAACAACAUUAAAAAACCGGUGAACAUGUGAAACCAAUUAUGAUAUGCCACUUAGAAUGAAUCCUAUGACAUUUAGGUUUUUUUAAAUAAGAAAAAACAUAAAUUCAAAAAACAAAAAAAGUUGUGUAACACCCCAAACCCGGCCUAGACGUUAUGGCCAUACCUGGCAAUGUCACACAAUAGUAUUUUUGAAACCUCGUUGUUACGAUAAAAACAUUCCAUGUUAUUAUCUUUAGUAAACCUUUGUUAGAACUUAGGAAGUCAUCUUUAUUCAUUUAAAACAUUUGUUUUGAAACAUCCCUCGUUGUGGAAGUUUUAAUAAAACUAUUUAACUAAUCAUGCGUUUAACUUUUUGAAAACCGAAUUUCCUACGACCAGCAGGUAUAAAUCCAUAAAGUAAAAUAAAUAAAUAAAAACUCAAAUUUAAAACCAAAGUCCUAGAGAGUCCUUAAAUUACAACCCAAAUAAUCAAUCAUAAUUAAAUUAUAAAUCGUAAAUUGAAAACCAUGAAAUCCAAAAAUUACUGUGGUCAUCGCUGAGUCUUCCGUCGCACCGAUUUGUCUAAAUUUGGGGAUUACCUGUGCACAUUAAACAAAAAGGGUGAAUUUACGUAAACUCAGUGUGUAAUCCCGCAGAAACAAACAAACAAUCAGUAUUCACAGUGCACAGUUUAACAGUCUUGGGCCUAAGCCCUUUUAGUAUCGUGACAAUUUAGGUCGUAGCCCAUCUUAGUACAGUGUCAAAAAUGCAGUAGGGCCUUAGCCCAUCAUAGUAUCAAUAGCCGUAACAGUUAUGCAAUAGCAAAAUCCUACCCAACCAACCUCCACACACCAUCUCUGUCCAACCCUACACUCCAUGUGGGGAUAUAAUCAACCCACCUAUCCUUCCACUCCAAGUAGUACUGAAUGCGGCACAAAACAGUAGUUUGCAGCUGAGUUGCCAGUAAAUUAGGCUUAAAGCCUUUCAGUACACUUCUUUCGAAUAACAACCCCCAGCCCAAUGCAAUGCAAUAUACAUUGGAUGAUAUGCUAUUAUGCAAUUUCAGUACAUAUAUUCAGUUCAGAUAUUAACAUGCUCAGUACAGAUAUCAUUCAGUCAAUUUCACACAUUUAGGGGUCUAAGUAGCGCUUACUGACCUUACAGUAGGUUCACAGUUGACUUGAGCGACCCGUGCAACCUUAAAAAUAUUUCGGUAAAAAUGAGCUCACAUGCCCAUGUGAUCUGACCGUGUGGGCCCACACGCCCGUGUGGCCCACUCGGCCCAAAAUGACCUUGGCCGUGUGAUCCAUUUUUAAUGUAACUCAUGCUAGCUAAAUAUUCAUAUAUAUUUUCACUAUUUACUUAUAUGUUCAUUCAAAGUUGUCUACUUGAGUUAUUGUCACUAAAUUAUUUAUAUCUUGAGCUAAAGAAUUCAAAAUUAAUAUCCGCUUGAUGUUUUUUAAACUAGACUCAAAUACUUUUUUACCAUAAAAUUUUCAGAAUUUAUAGUUUAUCAAAUAAGUACAGUAAAAUCUUCAAAUAUAUACCUAUUCUACUGUUUGAUAGCUUCAACCUUUCCUUACUAAAAAUUAUUUAUCUUUUAGUACAGAAUUUGGAUGAUGUUUCUGUUUGUUUCUAUUGAAAAUAGACUUGUUAAGGAUUUAAAAAUAUAAAUUUAAACCCUUAAUUAAUUUAUACAAUUUUUUAUUAUUUUCCAAAGUCAGAACAGGGGAACCCGAAAUCAUUCUGACCUUGUCUCACAAAAUUUAUUAUAUCUCAUAAUUUAUAAUUUCAUUGCUUACAUUGUUUUUCCAUGAAAAAUUAGACUUAAUAAAAUUUAAUUUCAUAUUUUAUUCAACCUCUAACUCAAUUUCCACUAUUUUUGAUGAUUUUUCAAAUUUAGACUACUGCUGCUGUCCAAAACUAUUUUAGUGUAAAAUGUUGAUUUCCAAGUGUAUAACACCCUUAUUUCCUUUCUCUACAAUUUUUUUCUCAUCCUUUUCUCUUAUUUCUCGAUAGCAAGUAAUUUCGACUUUUGGCGAAUCCCAUUUUUUGCAUUUCGGGUACACACCUGGUACCGUUUCUAAUGCGUAAACACUCCUUAGCCUCCAGAACCUAGAAAUCGACCAAUAUAUCUCCAGAUUAAUCACUUAAUUCAUUUUUAAUCAACCAAUUUCGGAAGGAACUCGACGAAAAACCUAACAAAACCUUACAUCGCUUGAGUAACCACGACUUCGCACAAUCAUAGCGUCGAUUCAAAACCACCAACCCCUUGAUUAACUCCUAAACACCAAAAAAGAAUCCCCUUUUAGAGAUUAACCAAGAACGAUUAACAAUAGACAAAACCGUUACUUAUCGAACAUGCACAACCAACGAUGAGCAACUGAAUCAAUUGGAAAAAAAAGAAAGAAACGGAAAGAGAAAAAAAUAAUGGAAAUUUCGGCAGCAACUAGUGGAGAGAAUUGGCAGAGGAGAGAAAAAAGAAGAAGAAAAAAACGUCAGAAAAAGUUUGGGAAAUUGGAAAAAAAACUGAAACUCUAUUAUUAUUAUUAUAUUUUUGCAACAAAAAGAUAAUCAAAUUAUUUUCUGAUAACCUCUCCCCAAUUAUCUCCUAAAAUCACUCCCUAUUAACCCACUAAAAUACAACUAUUCAGGACCUCACACACGCACUCAAAACACUUAACCACUGAAGCAAAUACACACUUAUGUAUCACACAUACACGAAAUUAAAAAUUAAAAUUUUGGGGCGUUACAAGUUAGAAAAAUAAAAUAUUUAAAUAUUAAAAAACCUUUAAAUUUUACCAUUCAUUGACUAAACGUUGACUGAUUGUUGACCAACCACUUAAUUUAAAUUUCAAAUAAUUUUCAUAAAUAUGAAUUUUUUUAUAAAAUAUAAUUUUUUUUGUAAUUUUUUAAAAAUAUAUUGAAAAUUUUAAAAAUCUAUAAUAUAUAACAUUAAAAAAUAAAAAGAUUUGUGUUUAGGUCGUGUGCUUUUACUGUUUUGUUUUUUUGGGCAUAUUAGGUUGUUUUAGGAUUUUUUUUUUUGUUUGUUUUGUUUAAAGUUUUUUAAUAAAAGCAUUUUGUUGAAAAAAAGAAGCUGAGAUAGGGCGUUCUGAUACAAAUAAACCCACAAAGUAAGUAUAAAAUGCAAAUACAAGAUGGUUGAAGUCAUGAAGCUACAGUUUUACAGCAGAAAAAGUACAAACUAAUUCAAGAAACUUGAAUUGCAAAGCAAAGAACACCACAACCUUCGUCUUCUUCUUCAACUGUAUCUACCAAAACAAUAGACCACGAGAAGUAUUAGUAUAAUGAACACUUAAAAGAAAGAGAGAGAUCUCCAAAUGUAUGGUCAAAGAUUCGCUUACACUGUUGUGGUUUUACAUAGACUUCAUCAAACAUCUUAAUCCCAUUCCACAACCCGAACAAGGGGUCCAACAACGUUCUUAAUAUUGAAAUUAGGGUGCUCCCACUCCACUGCUUCCCACCAAUCUAAUGGACGCACUUGGAUUCUCUGGAGAGAUUUAGAAGGAGAUAGUUCUCCUUCAUCAUCAAUCUCAAGCUGUGGAAGAUAUAGAGGAAUCCGCUUUAGCUUUGGACAAUCACUUAUUGUAAUGGAUCGGAGAGAAUCACAAACCAUUACUCCAUUUUCACUACAAAUGCGCUGCAAUUGUACUAGCCUCCACAAUUCUAACCUCCUCAGUUUGGGGAAAGGGAAUUUGAUGGUUUCAUUAUUGGAACCCAAUCUUUUUUUUCUAGGAUUCUGUUAUUAUUUCUUCCAAAUCACUAUAAUGCCUAACAUCCAUCACUUCCAGGUGUUGUUCCAAUAGGGUCGGAAGCGUGUAAAUUAUUGUACAUGUUCGGUAAAUUAUACCUACGUCCUCGGGCACUAACACCAGAUGAUAAUUUUACUAUCUUCAAAAUAUUACAAACAAAUAGAAUUCCUUAAGAAUUCUCAAAUGGGAGAAGAAAGAAAACUAAGAGAGAAAGAUUGGUUGGGAUGGUGUAAAUGAGAAAUGGUUAGGUUUAUUUAUAGUUGAGGUUCAGGGAUUAACUUGUAAAUGGCCUAAAAAAUUAGGGACCAAAAUUGCAAUUAUCCCAUUCAACUUUAAACAACUUGCCUAUCAUUCUUUCCUUUCGGUGCCACUUGCACCUCCCAUUUUUUUGACUUUUCAACACCCCUUUUAAUUUGACUUUUCAACACCAGGUUGCUUAGAACCCAAUCAGCUGAAAACAAUUUCUUAAUUUUGUCGCAAUUCCAUAGAGUGAUCUCUUUGAGGGAGGAAAAUCUGCCGACUGAUGAUUCUCCAGCUCCAACUUCAACUAUGACUUUCAAAUUCUCUAACUCAAUUAGAUCCAGAGACUCGAGUUUUUGAAGCUGAUCACUGUGGGAUGAAAUUACAGAUUCCAACUCACUACAACCACGAAGUUCACAUUUUUUCAAAUCAGUUGCAUCCCUCAAUCCAAUAUCGUUUAUACUUCUCACACCCCUGCACUCUAGUAGACUUAAUUCCUUGAUGCCGUAUGGAAGUAUAAUUUCAUCUCCAACAUCAAUUUUAAUCCCUUUAAAUCUAACAACAUUACUAAAUACCAGGGGACGAACAGAGGUGAUUUCAGAAACCAAAAUGGAGAGUUUAUAAAGCGUUUUUCUCUUACUUGCAAACGUGUUCAAGCCACACACGUUAUGGAACCAGUCCUCAAAAACCUCCAACUUAUUCAAUUCCCUCAACUCUUCUGCGCUUUCCAAUUUAAAAUGAACUGCCCAAUACUGAAGCCGGCAUAGUUUUGAGAGUGUUCCAGUAGGAAUCCCCGUUAGACGAAUGGUACGUUUAAGAUUGAGAUAUCUAAGAUUCACCAACAUUUCCAAACCUUGAGGGAUUUUCUCGAUUCCACUGCCUCCAAGAUCCAAUUUCUUCAAAGCUUGAAGUUUCGAUAAACAAGGCAAACUCCUUAAAUUCCAACAUCCUCUAAGUAACAAUACUGUUUCUCCAAACUAGAAAUAGAAUUAGGCAAACUCUCCAAAUAAUUACGUGAAAGAUCAAUAAUCUCAAGGUUAGGAAAGUGCUCAAAGAAAAGAUUCUGGAAUUUCUUUCAAUUCAUUCCAUGAGAGCAACAAUGCUGUCAGCUUUGGAAAUUUCAGGCAUUUCAUGGUUUGAGGAAUUGUUGAGAUGGAAUUUUCCAUUAAAGAAACCUUCUCCAAAUCUUCACCCCAUUCCUCCAUGUUUGCACCUCUUCCAACUGCAUACCAGCUUUUACCAGAAAUCUCUUCCUUGUGAUAUGCAAUGCCAUAUAUCUAACAAGAUCAUGCAUUUUUAUACAUGACCUACCCUGAACCCUUUCUAGCAACAGUUUUCUUCAAGCUUUUGCAAAAUGGAAUGACCGCUACCCUCCAUUGCUUUUCUCCUUCCCAUUCCAUCUAUAAGCCCUUCUUCCAUCCACUUUUCAAUUAUCUCAUCUUUAUCGAUUUCAUCAUCUUCAGGAUAUAAUGCACAAUACAAAAGGCAAUCUUGGUCUAUUCUUUGCAGACGGUCAUAGCUGAACUAUAAACAUCCAUACACCUUAUCUUCCAUAUCGUUGAUGUUUCUGAUGUAGCCUCGUAAUUCCUGUAUAGGAUAUUCCCACAUACAAGGAUAGGAUUUUCCCCUCAUAUAACCAGCCAGUGUGAAAACUGCUAGAGGAAGUCCAUCACAUUCCCUCACAGCAAGAUUCAUUAAUGAUUCUAAAGUUGGAUUGGACAACAUGUCUUGUCCAACUUUGCUUAAGAAUAAGUUCAUGGCUUCCUCCAUAGAAAAACAAGGAACUUUAACUUUCUUAAAUCCCAUUGAUUGAACAACCCUUUCUGAACGUGUGGUCAACACUAAUUUGCAUCCAUUAUUUGUUGUUGGCUCAAGGAUUCCAACAUCCUCAAGGGAAAAGCUUCUCCAUACAUCAUCCAAUAUUAGCACAUACCUCAUUUGUCCUCUCAACAUUUCUGACAAUUUCCCUGCACGGACGAUUGUACUUUUGUCAUCUGACAAGUUUCUCUCCAAUUGAGAAGCGAUGUCCUUUUGCAGCUUUCGAAUAUCGAAGACUUGAGAUACAGUUACCCAAAUCAAUGUUCUAUUUGUUCUUCUUUCUGAGUUAUUAUUCCAUUUGUUGUUGCAGUAAGAGUUAAAGAUAGGAAAAUGGAAUAAGACAAGCAGAGUAAAGUCAACAAACAAUAUUUGAUUCGCUUAAACCUAUUCUAUUAUGUUAUAAUGGAUAAUUACCGCCUCUAAGUAGAGCUCAAAAUGUUAAAAUUACUCUUCUCAAUAACUUUAUUUAUGUUCAAUAGAAACUAUCAAAUAAAAACCUAAAAAGAGAAUCGAAAAUAUAUUGAGAACACAAUACAAAAAUGACACUUACACUAUAUUUGGUUGGGGAAAUGGAAUAGCAUUCUCCUUGUUCAUUGAAUGGUAAACCAUUCAUUUGUUUGGCUGAACAUAAUAUUCAUUCAAUUGAAUGAUUAUUAUUCUUCUAUUACUUGUCUUUCCGUAAUAGCUAUUUUUUUAUUUUAUCAAAAAUGACUAUUCCAUGCAACAUUGAAUAACAAAAAAAAAAAAAGCUUUAGAUUAAUCCUUUAAAACUUGGACUUAGAAAAUAUAAAAAAUAAAAUAUUUUAAAUUUAAAAUAAAAUAUUUUAAUAUAAUUUAAUAUAAAAAUAAUUAUAUUAAAAAUAUUAUUAAAUUAUAUAUUAUUUUUAUUAAAUUAUAUUUAAUAAUAAUUAUAUUAAAAUAUGAUUAAUAAAUAAUCCUAUUAAAAUGUAAUAACAACAAUAAUUAAUUACCUACAAAAAAAUUCUAUUAAGGGUAUUCUGGUCAUUUUAAGUUUUUUUCUUAUGCUAUUACAAUAGUCCAUUCAACAAACAAAAGAAUACUAUCACAAUUCUAUUCCAUUCCAUUCAACUAAACAGUUGAAUUAUUGAUUAAAGCUGAUCUAUUCCAUUACAACGAACCAAAUGUAGUGCUAGGCUUUAUUUGAUAAACCAUUGAAAAUUAAUUUUUUAUGCAUGUUUGAUAAUCCAAAAUUAAAAUUUUUUUGAUAGAAUAUUUUCUAUAAAAAAAGUAUGGAAAAUAAUAAGUAGAUAAGAGUAACUUAUCACUUAAUAGAGAAUAUUUUCAAUUAUUUCAAUUUUACUUUAUAUUUAUUUUAAUGGUAUAUUAUCUUAUAAAAACUUUAUAUUUAAAAUUUUAAUUUUUGUUUAGAAUAAGGUGAAAUGUUUAAAAAAAUAAAGAUAAAAUGUAGAAUAUAAAUUUUUUAUAAUUUAAAAUCUAUAUUUAUCAAACAGUCUAACUAUAUUUCGUAAUUAAUUUUAAGUAGUAUAUCAAAUAAAAUUUAUAACCUAAAUUCAGUACUUAAAUUUUUAACACUUGAUUUUUUUUAAUUUAUCAAACAACACCUUAAAAUGCACCAUUCAAUAUGCGACACAAGCAGCCUAUUUAUAAGCCUCACCUUUGAUCAUCAAAACCAAAUUUGAGAUAUACAUCUCAUUCAAAUUUAAGUUAAAAAUAUCUCGCCGGUUGAGUCUUAAUUCGAUUAACAUAAGCAUUGCUAUCAAUGUAAAAGGACGUGAGUUUGAGUAUAUUGUAUGUUCACUAGCUUAAAGUUUUUUAAUUUUUUAUUAUAUUAUGUAUAUUCAUUUUACAGUUCCUAUUCAGAGUUUAUGACUACUCCUUUCAACAAUAUCAUCUUAUUGGGAAUGAAUUUUUUUUUUAAUUCAGUACAAUUUUGAAAAAGAAAGAAAGAAAGUAUUGGAACUAAUUUAUUUGAAUAGAGAAUAUAAAUGAUAUAAUUAAGAUGUGUGAUCUUAUCAAUUAUUUUAGUUUAACAAAUUUGACCCGAUUGAUGCACAAAUAAAGUAAUAAAUAAUUUGUAUUUAAAUUUUUAAUUAACAUUAAUUUUGAAUUUAAAUUUUAUUAUAGAAUAGAAAAGUAGUAAUAUUUUUUAUUAUUCAAAAAUCUAACUCUACUCAUUCAAACCACAUACACCUUUUAUUACAAAUAUUUUUUCAGAAUUUGGAUUUUUCUGUUUGCAUAUACCUAAACCCAACGAAUAUUUUUCAAAGUUUAAGCUUUUAGAAUGUAGCUUUAAGGCAUCAUCAACUCAACUUGAUUCACAGUGUGAAAUUAUGGUGGAUUGGUUGACCAAGCUUGGGCUUGAAAUCCUUGAAUAAGGCCCCCAUUUAUAAUUGGUCUAAGCCUACGGGCCUAGUAAGCCACUCAUCCUAAAUGAGUAUAAAAUUUGUUCUGUAAUUCUUUACUUGAUAAAAAUUGAUAAAAGUAUCAUACGUUUUGUAUUAGAAGUUAAAAUGUAUUUUGUUCCCUCAAAUAAAUUAGUAAAUUAAUCUUUAUACAUUAGAUCAAAGAGUAAAUUAGUAAUUUUUAUUAAAAAUUUCAUUUAUUUGUACUGUUAAAAACAAGCGUGCAUAACCAAAUAACCAGACAAUGACACAUGGCGUGCCACAUGCACGUCAUGUUGACAUAUAGAGACCAAUUUUUAAAAGUAAAAAUAGAUGAGCUUUAUAACAAAAAUGACUAAGUUGCUCUUUAAUCUAAUGUACAAAUACUAAUUUACUAUUUUUUUAAUAGAAGGGACAAAAUACAACCUAACUCCUAUUACAAGGGCCUCCAUGGUACUUAGAAUUAUUAACAUUUGAGUAUGUUUCUUAGAUGUAAGUUAACAUGAAAUGCUUGAUGGAUUGAAAAUCAAUCAAAUCCUUAUUAUACUUGCAUUUGGUUCACAUUAUGUAACAUUCCACAAGAAAUCUCACAUUUCUAAACAAUAUCGAAAUAUAAAGUAUAAUCUUAAUACUUUACAUUCUUUAAGCUAUUUCAGAUUACAGGUGGAAUUAAAAAAUUUGGAUAAAUUUACCCUUUUUUUAUUAUUUCAAACAAUUUCAUUCUUUUUUCUUAAAUAAAAUUUAAGUCUAAUUAAAAACAAAACCCUCUCUUUCUCUUAACAAUGAAACCAUAGAUGUUUUUUUUAAAAUUAUAAUUAUUAUAUGUACUAUUAGUAUGUUAAUUAUGAUCAAUAAAUUAUGGUUAGUGAUAUAAUUACUUUUCUUAAUUAUUGUAAUUAUUAUUUAUAAAAUUAUUUCAACGUUAUAUACUUACUUAUUGAAAUAUAAGAUGUAAUAAAAAUAAGACUUACCAUAAUUUAAUGAAAAAUAAGACUAAAAAAGUAUUAAAGGAAUUAAAUUUAAUGUUAUAAAAACAAAUUCUAUAACAACAACAAUUUAGUAAAAUGUUUUUUUAGGUAAUAUUAUACUCCGUCAACCAAACAUUAAAAUAUUACAUUCCAACUGAGUGAACCAAAUAAGGUAAUAUAACAUAAUCGAUAUUCCACACUAUAAUCUUACAUUCUCGUAAUUUUAUUAUUAAAGGUAAUUUACAUUCUUUAAAUUAAACACACUCCUAAGAGGAAGGGCGAAAUAAAGAAUUUGAUAUGAAAGGAUCGGAAUAAAAUUAUAGAAUUUUGGAGGCAAAACUAAAUUUUUUUGUUUUGAAAAUUGAAAAAUUAAUGAUUGGGAGGGCCAAACUAUUAUCAACACAAGGUUAUCAUCAUUAUAUAAAUUACCAUAAGGUUUCUUAUCCUUCCCGGCCGAUGUGGAAUCGAAGCACGUUGUCUUAUCUAUCUUUGACACUUGGCGUAACAUCAUGUUAGUUCCUCAGCCUUCACAAUCACACUAGAGUUUGUGAACUCAGCUUAACCAUACUUGAAUUUCAGAUAUGAACAACAUAUAUUUUAAAGUUUCUUGAAACAUAUUAAAAAAAAAUAAAGAAUCAAAGCAAGAUAGAUCCAAAUGGUCAAUGACUUGUUCCAAUUUGCUACACAUGAGGAAGAUGCCAAAAGAUGCAUGGCCCAGUAAUUAAAACCCUCAUUCCUCCAUAUACCAAUCAAUUAGAGUCUAAUAUAAGUAUAUUCUGAAAGCAUAUGCUUUUUCAUGUGAAUUAUUCCUCAGAAUAUGCUUUUUAUUGAAGUGUGGAUGAUGUUAGCAAAGACUUGCAGGUUUGGACCAAAAUGGAUAAUCCUACAUUAUCAACAUAUUCUCUUGAUUUUACAUGCAAGAUUGGAUAUGUUCUUUUUCUUUUCAUGAAAAUGCAUUAUUGAAUGUGUUUGUUUAUGGUCAUCUAAGCCAUUUUUCAUCUCGCCAAUUCUUUGUUCAAGCAGUUUUUGGAUAAUCGAACCGAUAGAAUACACCCGCAGAAAUGAUGUUUAGAUGACCAUCAACAAACAACUUCAUCUUAUUGCAUCAAGUGUUCAAGAUUUAAGGUUUUGUUACGGUUUAAAACCACCUUUUUCAAUCAACAUUCUUUCCAUCUCUACAAAAGUUUCGAGUGCCAAAUCUUUCCAUAAAGGUGAAAUCAAGAAUUUUAUGUUGGGGGUCGGAAUAUAAAGGAGACGAAUGGGAUGGAGUUAGAAGUGACUGGAGAUUCAAAUCGAAACUGUAAUGGGAUGAGCUAUUUUGCGGUUGUUAUUCUCUUUGGUCAACUGUUCUACACUUGCGAUAAACACGACACGAAAGAAAACAUGUCAUGAUUGCCGAAGAACUUGGUUUCAGAGAAGCAAUUCAGAACUGAAAAAAAGGGUAAGAUUCUUUUGUUCUUCAUGGAGUGAAACUCCCAGCUACUUGUCUUAGCUCUUUGAUAUUAUCUUAGGCUUUCCAAUGUUUCCUUUUGUCGGAACUUCCAAUGCUUUGUUUGUUCAAACUGAAGAUGGAUUAAGUGUCAUCAGUUGAAGUAUAUCAAUCUAUCUAUCUGUCUAUCUAUAUAUAUGUAUAUAAUCAACUUUAAUGGCAAUCAAUUUGGAAGCAAGAAUAGCAAUGGUCCAAAGGAUACAUAUGAUUUAUGUUUCCGCCAUGGUGGGAAAGUUUUUGUCUUGUGAAAGUCAAUAAUAUUGUUUAGGAGCACUCAAAAAAGUUACAAAAUUUUAGGGGACAAAGCUAAAAUAUUACCUUCAAAAAUUUAAAAUUUACUAUUUUUGGUAUCAAAGAUAAAAAAUAGUUAAAUAGAAUUAUUAAUUUUUUAGAAAGGUUAAAAUAUAAAUUUUCCGUUUAAUUAACAGCUAUAAUUUUUUAAAAAAGGCAAAGCAAUUUUUAUUAAUUUUUAAAAUUUAAAUUGCAGAGAAGUUGAUUUCUAAAUUAGCAAUUUAAUUAAAGAUUUUAACUGCAUUACUUAUUUGGUUAGUAUAAUAAAUUUAUAAUUAACCCGUACAAACGAGAAUAAUAUGUACAGAGAAAAAAUUAAACAUGGUUUUUGGAACUAGCUAGAUCGGUAACGGUCAGGAUAUUGGUUCGUGGUUGGAAAUAAGAGGUUAAAUCAAUUGGUUCGUAAAUCAAUAUGGACCGGAUUAAAAAAUAAGUUUGAAUGUAUAAUUAAAUCAAUUGAAUUAAAAUUUUUAAUAUAUUUUUUUCAUUUUUAUGAAUUUUUAAUCAAAUUAGAUGAAUCGAUUUAACUAAAGAACAAAUAAUCUAACUAAUUCAACCAUUAAUCUAAUUUUCUAGAAUAUAUAUUUAAAAAUUUAAGAUUUUUUUUACAAUUUUCUAAAACUUAAAUACCUAUUUUAAUUUAUACAAAAUUUUUAAUUUUUAUAUAUUAUUUUGAAAUUUAUAUUUAUAUUCUAGAUGGGUAAACUACAAAAAUAGUCACUUUUAUUUGUCUUAGAUUACAUUUUAGUCACUUUAAGUUUGAAUGUUACGUUUUAGUCACUUACAUUAUCGUUUUGUUACAAAGUAGUCACU